CGUCACCUGGAGCGCGAGAGCACAGCGUCAGCCCCCCCCCGGGCUUCCCAAGUGAACUGCUGCCUCCUCUCUCCUUGAUUUUUCUGUCUACUCAGGGUCACACUCUACUCCACCAGCAGUUGGGACAAGCUCUGCUUGAUCUCCAAGGAGGGUGGAAGAGGAGGGAGGAAAAACUGUAUUACAUCAAUAUAGUAACAUCCACACCUGGAGCACUGUGUCCAGCUCAAGAAAGACAUGGAGCUGCUGGAGCAAGUCCAGAGGAGGUCAUGGAGAUGUUCUGAGGGCUGGAGCCCCUCUGCUCUGGAGACAGGCUGGGAGAGCUGGGGGUGUUCACUUGGAGAAGGGAAGGCUCCAGGGAGACCUGAGAGCCCCUUCCAGUACUUAAAAGAGCUCCAAGAGAGCUGGAGAGGGACUUUGGACAUGAGCAUGAAGUGACAGGACAAGGGGGAAUGGCUUCCCACUGACAGAGGGCAGGGUUAGAUGGGAUAUUGGGAAGAAAUUCCUGAUUUCUCAGGUUGCCCAGAGAAGCUGUGGCAGCCCCUGGAUCCUUGGAAGUGUUCAUGGACAGGUUGGAUGGGGCUUGGAGCAACCUGGGAUAGUGGAAGGUGUCCCUGCCCACGGCAGGUGGAACUACAAGAUCCCAAACCAUUUUGAGAUCCUUUCCAGAUCCCUUCCAACCCAAACUAUUCUGGGAUUCCGUGAUCCUAGGAGUGGCGCCUGUCUCAGGGGCAGGAGCCAGGGAAGAGGACAGGUUGUAAAAUGCCAUCUCACCAUUUUGAUCUCCCAGUUCACGUUCCACUGCUUCAUGUUGCUGAAGCGCCAGGUCUUGACGGCGUCUCCCGUGCUGGCGUCCAUCCGGAUCAGCCGGUUGUAGGCGAUGCCGAUCAGCUCAUCCUUCUUCCCACCCUGGAACCUGUGACAGGGUGAGGGAUUAAUAAAACUGAGCCUGUGAUAAACGCAAA